UGCUGGUGCCUGAGCGCCACAGAGCCGGAGCCGGAGCCGGGGAGCCCGGCGCUUGGGGGUAACCCGAGCCCUCGAAGCCCUUGAGGCUGCGGGGGUGGCUUAGCUUCAGUGUUUUGGCUGAGAACACCCUUAAAGCUUAAAAUAAAACCUGCCUGUGGGGUGUGGAGGAGGACCGAGGCGUGCGCAUCAGCGCCCCUCCCUGCCCCCUCAGUUCUGGUGUAGGGGAGAGGAUGGUGAGGACUUGGACCCGAGGAGCCGAGGAACCGGAGCGCCCCCGACCCACACCUCAGCCCGCCCCCAGAUGCCUGCCCAAACUUACGAAGGAAAUGCAGGCGGCCAGGAGAAGGAUCCGCACCAGGAGGUCUUCAAACUGCUCUAUCACCAACUCCCACAGGGUCUUCCCUGGGGGAAGAGGCAGGGGAGGGUCCCGCCCCCGGGGGAGGGGGUUAAGGUCUGGAGGAUGAAUGGCUCGGACUCUAAGGGCAGGCUGGGAUCCAGGGACCAACAGUGGCCUAACUUCCAGCCUGAGCAGGAAGGUUCUAGGGGGAUGAGCAGGCCGCCUGGCAUUGAGAGGAGGCACUCUCGCCGGGAGUCCUGAAACGGGCUCCACAAACUGGUGGUGGGCAGUUAGUUGCUCAAGGACUGGAGGCCUCUGGGAGAAAGUGCCUGGAAACUCCUGCCCCCAGCCAGACUCUAACCUUUGGAGAGGGUAUUUGCCCCGGGAGUCAGUAGGGAGAAGGUGGGGAUAAAGGAGUGGGCACAGGGGCUGGGAGGCGGGGGCUGGUCAUUAAGAGAGCUCAGGGAUUCCAGUAACUUACCUUCCUCAGCAGGGAGCUCUACCCAGGAAAAAGAAGAAAAGGACAUAUUCAUUUGGGGUUCAGUCUAAUGCCCCCCACACCCAGGAUUCUGGCUAAGAUGGGGACACUGAGGCCGCAGAGCCUACCUCCUUGCCUAGGCCGAAGAGCAAAGGAGAGGAAAAGCCAGGAGUGAAAAAAAAUGGGGCUCCAUCCUCUACCCUCCAGCUUCCCAGCUCAGCCCUGAGAAGGGGGCAGCCAGCCUGUCCCCGGGCCCCUCUGCAGCCAGCCUGUGACUGCCACUUUAAAUUUCUUCUGACACAGCCACCAACCAGGCCCUGGCCCCACUCACUCUCCCUAGGGUGAGAAGCCUUAACUGAAGAAUUCAGAGUGUGUGUGUGUGGGGUCCUUAGAAGUUGUCAAUCUCGUUGCUCCCUGUCCUGUCCUGUCCCAUUAUGAGAACUUGGCUGGAGACACUGGGAAGCACGGUAUGGCUCUGCACUUACCACUCUACAGCACAGGGGAACAACGGGCCGAAAGCACAGUGCUGGAGGGCAACAGGGACUUGACCUGACCCUCUGGCCUCUCAGCUCUGGAGUGGAAACACUGAGUGGACUGCCUUCCUGACUCCCCUGUCCCAGCCCCCCACUGCAAACACUGGCCACAGCCAUCGCGAUGCAACUGAGAUAAACCCUUUUAUUUAUUUA